UGGGGAAUUUUGGACAAUGGGCGCAAGCCUGAUCCAGCCAUGCCGCGUGCGGGAAGAAGGCCUUCGGGUUGUAAACCGCUUUGUCNGGGAAGAAAUCUUCUGAGUUAAUACCUCGGGAGGAUGACGGUACCUGAAGAAUAAGCACCGGCUAACUACGUGCCAGCAGCCGCGGUAAUACGUAGGGUGCAAGCGUUAAUCGGAAUUACUGGGCGUAAAGCGUGCGCAGGCGGUUUUGUAAGACAGAGGUGAAAUCCCCGGGCUCAACCUGGGAACUGCCUUUGUGACUGCAAGGCUUGAGUGCGGCAGAGGGGGGAUGGAAUUCCGCGUGUAGCAGUGAAAAUGCGUAGAUAUGCGGAGGAACACCGAUGGCGAAGGCAAUCCCCUGGGCCUGCACUGACGCUCAUGCACGAAAGCGUGGGGAGCAAACAGGAUUAGAUAGCCCUGGUAGUCCACGCCCUAAACGAUGUCAACUGGUU
rnacentral:rRNA from 1 species